GGAGAAGGAAAGUCGCUCAAGCAGUGGACAGAGCGGAGAAAGCGACUUCGGUUCAGCCUGAGAAAACUCCUGAGCAUGUGCGAAAAAGAAAAGAAGAAAAGAAAAGUAAAGAAAAGAAAAAAGGAAAAAGGGCAAGCUCCUGAGUGGAUCUCUCAGGGAGCCACCAGACAGCCGCAGAGAGAAGAAGCUGCCCAAGAAUGGAAAGGAAGAAAUAUAUCACAUCAUCUGUCUGUCCACAGGCUUUCCUUGGGGCUUAUGAAGUGAAUGAAGGAGGGAAGAAAGGAGAGACAGAGAAAAUAUGGUAUGCAGCUGGCAUCAGAAGCUGGAAGAUAGGAUCUUCCCGGAUCACAGCUCCUGUUCAGAAAGUCUGAGGAUGUCAGACUGAGACUGUUGAGUCUGAGGAUGUCAGACUGAGAUUGUUGAGUCUCAGGAUGUUGCAGGACAGGAUGGAUGAAGAAUGCUAGUCCUGGCAGUUGGGGCCUAAGGCCAGGGCCCUUUUUUAUCACUUUCUUGUGUUGCCUCUCUGCCCAAGAAAAAAUCUGUCUCUUGCAUACAGCUCCUCUAAUACGUGUCCAUUAGAAGGAAGGAGUUUCUUUAAUGAGCUCUAUGGUUUUAUCUUGCUCAUAACAGCUUAGUUUAAUGCCACUGAAACUGUAACAUUUUUUUGUGCCUAAUAUCAACUGACAAAUAUAAAGUUAUUCCUAAUUUAUUAAUUCAAAUGAUAUAUUGCAAAAUAAAAUCUGCUUAAUAUGAAAAGAAG
rnacentral:lncRNA from 1 species